UAGGGAAUCUUCCGCAAUGGGCGAAAGCCUGACGGAGCAACGCCGCGUGAGUGAUGAAGGUCUUCGGAUCGUAAAACUCUGUUAUUAGGGAAGAACAAAUGUGUAAGUAACUAUGCACGUCUUGACGGUACCUAAUCAGAAAGCCACGGCUAACUACGUGCCAGCAGCCGCGGUAAUACGUAGGUGGCAAGCGUUAUCCGGAAUUAUUGGGCGUAAAGCGCGCGUAGGCGGUUUUUUAAGUCUGAUGUGAAAGCCCACGGCUCAACCGUGGAGGGUCAUUGGAAACUGGAAAACUUGAGUGCAGAAGAGGAAAGUGGAAUUCCAUGUGUAGCGGUGAAAUGCGCAGAGAUAUGGAGGAACACCAGUGGCGAAGGCGACUUUCUGGUCUGUAACUUACGCUGAUGUGCGAAAGCGUGGGGAUCAAACAGG
rnacentral:rRNA from 1 species